UCCCUAGUAACUGCGAGAGAAGAGGGAAAAGCUCAAAUUUAAAAUCUGGCAGCUUCGCUGUCCGAGUUGUAAUUUAGAGAAGUGUUACCCGUGUUGGACCGUGUAUAAGUCUCCUGGAAUGGAGCGUCAUAGAGGGUGAGAAUCCCGUCUUUGACACGGACUACCAAUGCAUUGUGGUGCGCUCUCGAAGAGUCGAGUUGUUUGGGAAUGCAGCUCUAAAUGGGUGGUAAAUUCCAUCUAAAGCUAAAUAUUGGCGAGAGACCGAUAGCGAACAAGUACCGUGAGGGAAAGAUGAAAAGAACUUUGGAAAGAGAGUUAAACAGUACGUGAAAUUGCUGAAAGGGAAACGCUUGAAGUCAGUCGCGUUGGCCGGGGAUCAGCCUUGCUUUUGUGAGGUGUACUUCCUGGUUGACGGGUCAGCAUCAGUUUCGACCACUGGAAAAAGACUUGGGGAAUGUGGCAACUUCGGUUGUGUUAUAGCCCUUUGUCGUAUACAGUGAUUGGGACUGAGGAACUCAGCACGCCGCAAGGCCGGGUUUCGACCACGUUCGUGCUUAGGAUGCUGGCAAAAUGGCUUUAAUCGACCCGUCUUGAAACACGGACCAAGGAGUCUAACAUGCUUGCGAGUGUUUGGGUGGAAAACCCGAGCGCGUAAUGAAAGUGAAAGUUGGGAUCUCUGUCGUGGAGAGCACCGACGCCCGGACCAGAAGUUUACUGACGGAUCUGCGGUAGAGCACGUAUGUUGGGACCCGAAAGAUGGUGAACUAUGCCUGAAUAGGGUGAAGCCAGAGGAAACUCUGGUGGAGGCUCGUAGCGA
rnacentral:rRNA from 1 species